ensembl:snRNA U6 U6 spliceosomal RNA
GUGCUCACUUCAGCAACACAUAUACUAAACUUGGAACGAUACAAAGAUUAGCAUGGCUCCUGCGCAAGGACAACAAACAAAUUCGUGAAGCAUUCCAUAUAAAA